ACAGAGAAGCGAAGUAAACAACAAAGCCAAGCCGCUUGGCAUGCCGCGCUGCUUCUAUUUCAUCCUGCUCUUCAUCUGGGAACUCGUAGGCCAUGUAUUCUGAGCCCCUACCCUCUUUCCUCCUUGUAUUUGACUAGACAUCCUGAGGACAAGAUCUUCCUGUGACACUGCAGAUGCUGGCAACUCUCUGGUUUGAGUUGCCAGACACUGAAAUUGGUUGUUUCCAAACCACCACAUGAUACCAGUGACAUCAAAUUCAAGUCCUACAAGAACUUGGUUUACUAUAUUCAUCAUGAGAUAUUUUAUUUGCUGAUGAACAAUCCAAGCUCUGCAAGCAUAACAAGACUUUGUUUAUUAUUAAUACUUAUUUUUUGAAGUGCUGAGAAGUGUUUGAAAAGGUGAUCUGCAGUGAGAUGUCACCAGGAAUUGAAAAUAUUUCUGAUUACUGAGAAAACUGAGUUUGGAUGUCUUAAAUAUUACUAUCCCCUAAGAAAUAUCUUUCUGUUAUGUAAUAUUAUAUCUUACAAGUUAUGUGAGCAGAUAUGACUUAUUUUGGCAUAUGAAUAUUUUAAUUGUUUACUAAUUUAUGUAUUUUGAAUUCAAAGUUUUAGAUAGGUACAUUAAUGACAGAUUUUUUGUCAAACUAUAUGUAUACUGACAAAUCAGCACACUUUGUCGCUUACCAAACAUUAAAUUGGGGAAGUAAUAGUGUAACAAGGUUUUGAUGUAUUGUUGUUACACUUGGAUGCAAGGUCUAAUCUGAAAUUAUUGUAAUACCUACAAAAUCUGAGAGAUACAACAUACAUACAAAAGAAACAAAAAUGUUCAAGACUUCUAGAUGUGAACAGUGUGGAAAAUGCUUCACCAGAAACAGUCACCUCACUCGGCACAAGCUCAUUCAUACAGGUGAGAAAAAAUUUGAAUGUUUACAAUGUGGUAAGCUAUUCAAUAGAAAAGGUGACCUUACUAGACACAUGUUAACUCAUACAGGUAUAAAGAACUUCAAGUGUGAGGAAUGUGGGAAGAUGUUUAAUAGAAAUAGCCACCUCACUAGACACAUGAGAGUGCACCUUGACACAAAGCAGUUCAUGUGUAAGGAUUUUGGGAGGAUGUUUGUUGGAAAUAACAACUCUAGACAAACAGUAACACAGUCUAAUGUGAAACAAUUCAAGUGUGAGGUGUGCAACAAAGUUUUUACUAGGAACAGUCACCUUACUCGACACAUGCUAAUUCAUGCUGGUAUCAAGCGAUUUGUUUGUGAAGAAUGUGAUAAGCCAUUCCACAGAAAUAGUGACCUUAACAGACAUAAACUGACACACAAAUAGUGGUACACUGCAGAGGAAUGGCUCUCUGCUACUGAUGAAGCUAAUCUUUUAAGAGGCUGAAUAUUUUCUACCAAGUUAUGACUGCUGAAAAAAGAUUCUGACAUUAUUUUAGAAUUACUUAUUAUUUUAAAACAAAAAAAAUAUAUAUUGAGUACCAUAACAAUGACAUCUGUUACUUUUAUCUUGUGUAUUGCAAUGGACCAGUAUCUAGAUAAUGUUUAACAGCUUACAACUUUUCUUUGUAUAAGUUUCCUUUAAUAUUUAGUAAAUACCUAAAUGACUAUUAUAUUAAUAUUAACUGAGUGUAUAUUUGCACACCAUUAUUAACAGGUAUUAACUUUAUUAGCACAUACACACACACACACACACACACACACACUUUACUUUGUUGUUAAUAAUUUGUAUUUAUUUUCAUACAUCUUUUAUCAAUAGUGUUAUUUGAUACCACAUUAAUAGACUGUAACACACACAAGUGAUGCCUUGACUCCUGAUGAAUGUUGGUGUUACUCUGAGUUAUUGCACUGAGACCUAAUUUGGUCCCUUUGCUGAUAUGUGUCAAUUGUUGUAUACAUUUAUUACUUAAAGAGUACUGAUGGAUUUAUUUAUUUUUUAUUAUGAACUGUUAUAAUUUUUGCUUAAGUACUGUCCAGAAGAGAAGUAAUACAUUUGUGUUGUGCAUAAUGCUAACCACUGAUACAAGUAUACACACACACACACACACACACACACACACACACACACACACACACACACACACACACACACACACACACACACACACACACACACACACACACACACACACACACACACACACUCAGUAUUGGUCUUAAAAGUUGUGCAGUUGCUUGUGAAUAGAAAGGAAAAUGCAAUGGACAUUCACUAGAGUAGUGCAUCUCCAUUACAUACUUGUCUUUAAAUCUAUUGUCACAGAAGUGGCAUCUGACGAUGGCCAAGACACACAAUAUCACUCUUCCCAUCCAGUACAUACCAUACUAAUGCUACUUGUCCUUGGGGUUUUCAUUCCACCCUUCUUUUCAUGAAAUAAUCCUACACAAGUGUAUGGACAUGGGUUAUGUCACCACUUCUAGACUGGAAAGAACCUGCAUAUUGAUCCUCAGAGAAAGAGGGAGAUAGGUAAUCUCAGGAAUGCACUAUCAGGUAUUAAACCAAGACAUCUGGCAUGAUGGACUGCAUGAUGGAAGCAUGCCCUAUAAUGUUCCUUAGGAAGAAUUUGAAGUUUAUUAUUUGUCACUGUCUUGUACUACUUCAACUCAUCCUUAUUAACAUUGAUCCCAAAUAUGAUGCACGGCUAAACAAACCUUGGCUUCACUACUCGGGCAGUCACAGACCCAGCUGACCAAAUAUGAGUGAAAUGCUGGUUCAUUUAGUCUCUAUGGAUUUAUGCUACAUCUAUACUGCAGUGCAGAGAUGUCCAGAAUACUCUUCUGUUAAAAAAAAGAUUAAAGCAUAAAUGCUGUCACUUAUCAUGAGAUGUUACAAUCGCAUCCAACAAUCAUUUUGGUUGAUUCUGUAUCAUAUGUAAAGGAAAACCUGCCAAAGUAAAAAAAAUAAAUAAAACUACUCAGUAUGAGAUCAUUUUUUAUAAAAAAAAAAAAAAAGGGGGUGGGGUUGGUUGGGCAGAAAAUUGGACAGCUUUAAAUCACAUGAAAACUGCUGACUACAGAAAGUGACAUUAAUAUAAAUAAAUCAGUAGAAAUUAUUUUGAGGGAUAGGUCUUGUUUGGAACAAAUGGAGAACUAAUGCCCACAUGUCUUCUAGAAGUUUUUAAGAACUACAGAAUAUUCAAAGGGUAACAACAGAAUCCUGAUGAAUGUUUGCACUUAAAAGUCCCUUCUUGUAGGUCAUGAUUUCCAAGACUAAGUGUGUGUGUGUGUGUGUCUGAAAUCAUUCAAGGAUAUUUUGUUAAAGAGAUUGCUACAAGUAAGUUUCCAUACCAUCUGGUUCUACUAUUUUUUGCUCUGUCUUAGUGGUUUAUGGGCAUGCUCAAUUACCCAUCACUUUGAUCAAGGGUUUUAAAAUGUUCACCUGAUAAAUAAGCAAUUACUCUAAGGAAAGUUCCAAGAUAUUAAAGUACAAUAGAAAUAAGAACUAUUAUGUUUCAUGCAUAACAAAUCAUUAGAUAACAAAAAUGGAGCAGUUUUACCACAAUAUGUACCAAAUUGCCAUUUCUUACUUAUAACUUCAAACUUGCUUUGCCCUUUGACCAUAUUUACUACAUAUUUCAUACUUUGUGAAGAUGAAAAAUAACAUAGAGGUAGCAUGUAAGUUGGCCUGCCAUCCCAAGUUAGUGAAGAACAACUGUGUACUGUUCGGAGAUAGUACAUGUACAAUACAUUAUUAUCUCAUGGAAAAACUGCUAUCUCUGGCUGUUGAUCAACAGGUAGCAUUGCUGUUUCCAACAUGAAAUAAGCUUACAUCUUUGCAAUGAACAUUUUUUGCUUCAUAGUGACUUGAAUUCAUUUUAUUACACAGGUUAUUUUUUGUAAAUUGCUAAAGAGAUUUUGUUAAUCUUAAAAGUUCACAAGUACACUUGGCCCUCGUUUAUGCGGACCUCGUUAAUCUGGAUUUUGGUUUAUCCAGACAGUGUAUGGAUAAUUUGAGUCCGUACGGCCAACAAAUUAGUUUACACAAUACGUGCCUCAUGCACUGCCAGAAAUACCCGAUAGGUGGUGGCAGGUGGUUGUAAACAAGUCCAGCUGAUGCUCAUAAACACCAUGUCAUGUCUAAUAUCUGUGAACAAUUUUGUGCAUUUUUCAGUACAAAUUGAUAUCUUAAAACUCUUACUUAUGCCUCCUAAGUUUAUUAAGUGUAAACAAGUGGUCAUAACUGUGGCUCAAUAGCUGGAAUUAAUAAGAAAAUCUGAGUAAAAAGCUGGUGUUGCAAGUGUUACUGAGGAGUAUGGUGUGGGCAAACAAACUGUUUUGGAUCUCAGAAAGCAGAAAUAUAGGCUUGUAGAAUAUUCUGCAAAAUAUUGUGUAGAUGCAUCACCAAGCAAAAAUAGUAACGGUGCAUCAAAUAAAAAAUGUUAAGACCGGAAAAGAUGCUGCAUUAGAUAUUGCAUUUAUGAAGUGGUAUGUGUAGCAACGAUCAGUUGGGAUAAAUGUCCAUGGCACAGAAAUCUUUCCAGCUAGGAUGCUUUCAUAGAAAAUGGAAAUAGGAAAUUUCAGGGGAAGCAAUGGGUGGCUGUGGCAAUUCCAAUUUUUUAAUAUGACUUCGAGGGUGAAGCUGGCUAUGUGGACACAGCCAGCAUCAAACCUUUACAGAUUAAGCUGAAUAAAUUCAUUCAAGAUAAACAUUUAAGCCACUCUCAAGUGUUUAAUGGUAAUGAAACGGGUUUCUUUUGGCGUUCAGUACCUAAGAAUAGUCAUAUUUUAUUUGCAUUAUAUGGAUAUACAUUUAUGUUAUCUGGACUUUUUCCAUUAUCAGAACUGUAUCCUUUACCAUUUAGUCUGGAAAAACAAGGGUUGAGUGUAAUUAAUUACUCAUGCCCAUAAAUUCAUGGUUAAGGUACAUAAUAUAACAGUUUGAGAGUUAUAGAAAACUGCAAUAAUCACUAUGAACAUUAUUUGUUAAUACCAGCAUUAUUUAACAUUGUUUCAUAACAUUGCAAACUAUAGAUAUGCUAUCACUAAAAGUCUUUUCCUCAAAUACAUGAAUAAACUUAGUUAAGUGACAUUACAUAUAACAUUUCAUUGCAAGAUUUUUAGCAAUUUGUUAUUUAUCACAAAUAUGAGAUCCAAAAAAAUUAUAAAAGUAUUUGGAAUUCAAAUGCAAUGAAAGUAAUGAAUAAAUAGGUCCAUGUGCUUCUAAAGAGUAUGAUAUUCAGGAAGCGAGAUUUAUGUUGCAGCUACUCUAAAAAGCAUAUUGUAUAGUGGAGACAGAAGUCUCUUCUUGGAAGGAGUGCACUGUAAGCAGCAUUGCAGAGCCUCAUACCUGACAUUAAAAAGUUUUUGUUGCAAUAACUUUUACUAGACUCAUUAGAUUAAGCAGAUUUGUUAAUUUAACCUAAUACAAUGACAGAUAUAGUUUAACUGAUCUGUAGGAUAUGUGCUGAUAAGGUUGGUUGUAAGACUAUAAAACUGUUAAGUGACACUUGCAUGUUUGAGGUAGGAUUACACGUAUAUAUAUACAAAUACAUAGAUGAACAAUAAAUUGUAAUUUCUAUCAGCCACAUCAAAGAUAUUAACACUUCAGGGUACAGGAUUCAGGACAAGAACUACCAAGUGCUGGAUUUCCUUACAUGAAGUAAACACUAUAUGUAGUUAGUCUAUUUUCUCCUUUUUAUUAAUGAAAAAUUUUCUACUGCCACCACCAGGAACUACCUUGUGGAAGGAGUUUUUUAGAAAUUUUCAUACCUACAUAUAUUUGUUAUGAUACCAGUCUCUUGCUGCACCAUGUCUCAAGGUUGAAUGAUUGGAUCAUGAAUAUGUACAAUAAUAAAACAGGCAGUCCAAAUA